UACGAAGGGGGCUAGCGUUGUUCGGAAUUACUGGGCGUAAAGCGCGCGCAGGCGGUUUUCCAAGUCAGUGGUGAAAGCCCGGAGCUCAACUCCGGAACUGCCAUUGAAACUGUUAAGCUUGAGGACGAGAGAGGUGAGUGGAAUUCCCAGUGUAGAGGUGAAAUUCGUAGAUAUUGGGAAGAACACCAGUGGCGAAGGCGGCUCACUGGCUCGUAUCUGACGCUCAGGCGCGAUAGCGUGGGGAUCAAACAGG
rnacentral:rRNA from 1 species